rnacentral:rRNA from 1 species
CCUACGGGAGGCAGCAGUGAGGAAUAUUGGUCAAUGGACGAGAGUCUGAACCAGCCAAGCAGCGUGAAGGAAGACGGCUCUAUGGGUUGUAAACUUCUUUUAUAUGGGAAUAAAACAGGGUAUGCAUACCCUUUUGUAUGUACCAUAUGAAUAAGGAUCGGCUAACUACGUGCCAGCAGCCGCGGUAAUACGGAGGAUCCGAGCGUUAUCCGGAUUUAUUGGGUUUAAAGGGAGCGUAGGUGGCUGGGUAAGUCAGAUGUGAAAGUUCGCGGCUCAACCGUGGAAUUGCAGUUGAUACUGGCAGGCUAGAGUGCAGUAGAGGUAGGCGGAAUUCGUGGUGUAGCGGUGAAAUGCUUAGAUAUCACGAAGAACACCGAUUGCGAAGGCAGCUCACUGGACUGCAACUGACGCUGAUGCUCGAAAGUGUGGGGAGCAAACAGGAUUAGAUACCCUGGUAGUC